CAGAUUGAACGCUGGCGGCAUGCCUUACACAUGCAAGGUCGAACGGUAGAGUAGCAAUACUUGAGAGUGGCGAACGGGUGAGUAAUAUAUCGGAACGUGCCCAGUCGUGGGGGAUAACGUAGAGAAAUUUACGCUAAUACCGCAUACGAUCUAAGGAUGAAAGCGGGGGAUUCGCAAGAACCUCGCGCGAUUGGAGCGGCUGAUAUCAGAUUAGGUUGUUGGUGAGGUAAAAGCUCACCAAGCCGACGAUCUGUAGCUGGUUUGAGAGAACGACCAGCCACACUGGGACUGAGACACGGCCCAGACUCCUACGGGAGGCAGCAGUGGGGAAUUUUGGACAAUGGGCGAAAGCCUGAUCCAGCAAUGCCGCGUGCAGGAAGAAGGCCUUCGGGUUGUAAACUGCUUUUGUACGGAACGAAAAGGCUCUUUCUAAUAAAGAGGGCCCAUGACGGUACCGUAAGAAUAAGCACCGGCUAACUACGUG
rnacentral:rRNA from 1 species